GCGGGCAAUGCAAGCACCCCGCCGGGGGAGCCGCUCCCCUCCAUCGCCCUGGGAUAGUCCCGAAGCCUUCCCAGGCAAGACGCUCAUUCCCUUGCUCACCUUCUUCUACGUGAGCGAAUUCCAGCAUUACCCAUCAUGAUCCCUGGCCUGAAGAGGAACUGCUGCUGCUCGCUCUCUCUGGAUCUGAUUAAGGAUACUGGCUGCAGUCUCCAGAGCACCCCAUUCUACCCUGAAGACGUGAUGAGGGAUGGAGUUGACUACUCUACACUGAAGGAUGCCAUGCAUAAAAGGGCUCUCCUGGCCACCAUUGAAGUAAAUGGGAGUCAUUGACUUCAGUGGGAACUGGAUUUGACAAAACGCAAAGAAGGUACCAAUUUGAGAUUUCUAAAGAUCGCAACAGCACUCGACCCAAGGAUUAAGAAUCUGAAGUGCCUUCCAAACUCUGAUCAGGAUGGGGUGUGGAGUAUGCUUUCAGAAGUCUUAAAAGAGCAACACACUGAUGCAGAAACUACCAAAAAGAAAACCAACCUUCUGCUGGUGGCAUCUGACCCAGAUGAUGAAAAUAAACAUGCAUUGGCCUGCACUGCUUUGGAUCAUUAUCGAGCAGAACCCAUCAUCAGCAUGGACGCAUGUCCUCUGGUGGAUGAAGCAUGAAGGGACAUAUAAAUCUUUAGCAAAACUGGCAUGUAAAUAUCUUGCGGCACCGGCUACAACAGUACCAUGUGAACACCUGUUCUCACUUUCAGGUGAUAUUGUGAACAAGAAGCAGGCAGCAUUAUCUCCUGCAAAUGUAAACAAACUUGUUUGUUUUAGCGAUUGGUUGAACAAGAAAUA